UCAUAAGAACAGUAAAAUCAAGGCAACUGAAAUUGGUCCUUGCUGGCUUUCUCACUGUGAAAACUGUGUGAAACGAGAGAGGUGUUGGGCCAGAAGAAAAACAAGCACCAGCAAAACAUCCUAGUGAACCACCUGAUUCCUGAAUCCUGUCCACAACUGGCUUCCUGUCUUAAGAGGAAUGCACAUUUUAGCGCUGUGGACUGGCUGCUUGCACAGAAGUAUGGGCAGAGUCUCCUAGGUCAGCGGACUGGAUUUCCAAGUGCGGAGUGAGUCUGCGGGCCAUUCAGCUGAGAAGUGCUCUUUCGCCGUGUCUAUUUGAUUAAGAGGCGUUUUAUCCCAAAGAUGUCUGGGGUCUGGAUAACUUUGGAAUCCAAACGUUCUGGAAGAGAAGUAAGCAGAAGACACGAGCAGAGCCCAGGAGGCAUUCUGAUGAGGAAAGGCUUGUCAUACGGGGAUGGCAAUCUCAGGACCAGGAUUUUCCUUGUGAACUCAAGACUCACCUGCCCAUAGGAGACACAAUCCAGUAUAGCGGAGGAUCCCGGCAGCCAUGGUCACACUGAGGCAGCAAGAGUCUGAGUGAUUUUAAUUCUGCCCGGGCACUUGCUGUCAUGUGAUCCCUUGCAGACUCCAUCAUGACGUUACUACUUCCUGUUCCUGCCAAAACACUUCAUGGCAUCAGAAGAAAAGCUUUUGCUCAGCUCAGGAAAGAUGACAGCUAUUUGA